rnacentral:lncRNA from 1 species
CUUCACAUAAUGACAGCAAUUUCUCUGAACUAAAUGUUAAUUAAUAAGGCCUGUAAUACUAUGAGAAGGAAAUGGUGGCAAUUGGCAAAUGGAACUCUGUUGCUUGGUAACAAAACCUGAGGCAAAAAGGUGAGGAAGCAGAGAAUUAUUUUUGAAUGGCUACUGCUUAAAGAGUUGCCUGCGUGAGGUUUGGUGGCAAGAAGCAGAAGUCAGAGCCUGUGGUUCCUGUUGCUCUUCGGCGGUAUGAAAGAGAGAAGAAGGCGUGCUUCAUUAUAUGAAGCUUUGCUCCUAAGGCCAAGUCCUUUAACCUCAUGACCAUCCCAUUUCUGAACCCAUACAUUUUCCAGGAACUCUCAGUUUUUCACUGAGAACAGCAAGUGUGGCAAGAAUAAAGAGCACAACAGUUGCCGUGAAGGCCAUCCCCACCACGUGGGUGUUUCCUGAGUGAGAUGACUUGCACACACAGUGCCAGGUAGGAGGAGAGAAAAAACCCUCAUUAAACAGCUAUCACUGACAAGGAUUCAAGAUAAUAGGAUUCUCACAAUGAAACUACCAUUCAGUCAUCAAAGCUGAAAGCACUGGAGGGGAAAUAUCUGUCACAAAGGAACUAAUAUCUUUAAAAGAUUAGAUUUAUUUAUGCAUCUAAUUUGAAGUUUAUUACCUCAAAGCAUCUGCUCCAUGGUUACAUCGUGAAUCCUAGACUGGCUCAAAGGCCAAAAGUUGGUAAUAAUCCAAAUCCAUCAACAAUAGAAGGAUUAAAAUUUGUGGUACAUUCAUCUUGUGAAAUGUUAUACAGCUACCUGCAACCAAAUGGAUGAAUCUUACACAACAUUGAGCAAAAACAGCAAAUCAGAAGAAUAAUUCAUUGUGAUUUCAUUGAUAUAAAAUGUAAAAGCAGGCAAAACUAAACAAUGGUAGAACAAGAGGGAAAAGGAAGGAAAUGAUCAUCUUCGAGUUAUAAUGAUGGUUACCGUUCUGUGGCAAGAACAAGAUUGAAAUUCCAUAAGGAUAGGUGGGAAAGGGUGGAGAUUUUCAGGUGUUGGCAAUGUUCUAUUUCUUAAGUUGGAUGGUGGUCCCAUAGAAGUCCAAUUUUUUUAAGCCUUUUUUUUUUCUUUUUUCUUUUUUUUUUUUUUUUUUGAGAUGGUGUCUUGCACUGUCACCCAGGCUGGAGUGCAAUGGCGCGAUCUUAGCUCACUGCAACCUCUGCAUCCUGGGUUCAAGCGAUUAUUCUCCCUCAGCCUCCCGAGUGGCAGGGAUUAUAGGCACCCACCACCAUGCCCAGCUAAUUUUUGUAUUUUUAGUAGAGACAGGGUUUCACCAUGUUGGCCAGGCUGGUCUCAAACUCCUGACCUCAAAUGAUCCACCCGCCUCAGCUUCCCAAAGUGCUGGGAUUACAGGCGUGAGCCACCACGCCUGACCAUUAAUGUUUUCUUCUUUAAUGUAAAUAUAUACGUAUUAUGUUCUUUUAUGAAAGUAUUUUAUAUUCUACAAUGUAAAAUGUUUAAUUUUUUAAAUUGCAUGAUAAUUUUCCCAUAAUUUGGUUUUAUAAAGCUCUAGAGAGAAAAGGAAAAGAAGCAACUUACUAAAAAUAUUCCCAAGGCAAAGACAAGGAACUGUGCCUCCACUCCUUCCUUUAGCUUGUAAGUUGCUUUGGGGCCCUGGGUUGCGAUUCUUAACCCACAGUGGAUGUUAAAUAAAUAUUUGAUGGUGUUGAGGGCUUAAGUAAUGGUUUAUGUAAACAUCAAGAGCUGCUGCUCAGAACAUAUUCUCAUGGCACAAUACUAAAUUGACCAGAGAGAUUUCACUGUGGUGUGCCUCAGACUGUAGAAUAUAAGGAAGUCUCAUUAACUUGUCAAGUUGACAGAGUUUGGGAAUUUGUUUUGUUGUUGCAAACCCACUGUUUGCAAAAUGAGUAUUCUCAUAUAUGGUCAGUAGGUCUGUAAAAUAGCACAUGUAAGAAGGGCAAUUUGGCAAUACUCAUUAAAAGCCUUCAAAAUAAUAGUCUUGACUCAGCAAUUUCACUUCUAAGAAUUAAUCGUAAAGAAGCCAUCAUGGAGUUUGUAUGUAAAGAUUUAGCUAUAAGGACAUUGUUUGUAAGAGUAAAAAAUGGGAAGCAACAUAGUUAUCUGACAACAUGGGACUUGUUAAACAGAUUGUGGUACACUCCAGUUGAAUUCCAGGCUGGGCGCGGUGGCUCACGUCUGUAAUCCCAGCACUUUGGGAGGCCUAGGCGGGCAGAUCACCUGAGGUCUGGAGUUCAAGAAGAGCCUAGCCAAUAUGGCAAAACCUCGUCUCUGCUAAAAAUACAAAAAUAAGAAAAAUUAGCCGGGUGUGGUGGUGCGUGCCCGUAGUCCCAGCUACUCAGGAGUCUGAGGCCUGUGAUGGCUUGAACCAGGGAGCCGGAGGUUGCAAUAAGCUGACGUCACACCACUGAACUCCAGCCUGGGCAACAGAACAAGACUCC